rnacentral:sRNA from 1 species
UCUUUGCGUUAGGGAUAGUAACGACAUCCUUUUUUUGCCCUGUCCAAUACGCAAAUGGCAAAAAAAGAUAUAGUGAAUAGCCUGUUAAAAC